rnacentral:rRNA from 1 species
UACGAAGGGUGCAAACGUUGCUCGGAAUUAUUGGGCGUAAGCGCACGUAGGCGGCUUGGCAAGUCGGAUGUGAAAUCCCUCGGCUCAACCAAGGAAGUCGCUAUCCGAAACUGCCGAGCUUGAGUACUUAAGAGGAUCGCGGAAUUCCCGGUGUAGAGGUGAAAUUCGUAGAUAUCGGGAAGGAACACCAGUCGGCGAAGGCGGCGAUCUGGGAAGAUACUGACGCUGAGGUGCGAAAGCGUGGGGAGCAAACAGG